rnacentral:lncRNA from 1 species
UUUCCCUUUCCCUUUCCCCCUCCUCCCCAUGUCCUAUUUACCUCUUGUAGUUUAGUGCUCACUGCUCAUCUUUCAAUCUGUUUCAGGUUCGAAAUGACAAACGCGAUUCUUGAAGGAGGGAUACCAUUUGACAGGGCCCAUGGAUCAAACGCAUUUGAGUACCCUAGAAAGGACCUCAGGUUCAACAAGGUUUUUAACGCAGCAAUGCACAACUACACAACCCUAUUUAUUAACGAGACCCUCGAGUCCUACAAGGGUUUUGAGCACCUCAAAGAGGUGGUGGACGUGGGUGGAGGUCUUGGGGUCACCCUCGGUGCCAUCACAUCCAAGUACCCCAGCAUUAAGGGCAUUAACUUCGACUUGCCUCAUGUUAUAGAACAUGCCCCACACUAUCCAGGUACGUUGCUUCAGGUACUUUUUGUUCUUGCAUCCACUUUCUGUUUCUGGCCGGGUUGAAAUGGAAAAAAAUCCUAUUUUCUUGCAGGCGUAGAACAUGUCGGAGGAGAUAUGUUUGAGAGCGUUCCCAAAGGAGAAGCCAUUUUUAUGAAGGUGAGUUUGAGUAAAUGGAACUUUUUUAUUUUAUUUUAUUCCUUAAUGCUAUUUUGAUGUAAUGGGUAAUGAUUUUUGUGAUAUCAUGUAGUGGAUACUUCAUGAUUGGAGUGAUGAACACUGCUUGAAGUUGUUAAAGAACUGCUACAAUGCUCUACCGGAGCAUGGGAAGGUGAUAGUAGUGGAGGGGGUUCUUCCGGCAGCACCGGAAACAAGCGCUGUUGUGAAAGCUGUCAGUCAAACAGAUUUGAUAAUGAUGGCUCAAAACCCCGGAGGGAAGGAGCGGACUCGAGAGGAGUUCCUGGACCUGGCAACUGGAGCUGGGUUUGCUGGAAUCAGAUUUGAAUGCUUUGUCCUUACUUAUUGGGUCAUGGAAUUCUUUAAGUAAACUGCACAUUUGGUUAUCCUUUUCUUGGUUUAGGGAGAGAGAUGGUUUGCCAUGUUUUACAAGAAGAUUUUUCUAAUAAAAUGAGGGAUUCAAUUUGCCUGCUAAAUUGUUGUGCAAAUAGGAAUUUGAUAAUGAAAUUUCAUAAAUUGGUAUACUCUACUCUGUCGUCUUAACAAGAAGGGGUUGAGCUCUUGCUAUUUCUCUACAUCGAUGGACAUGAAAACGAAUUAAGAGAUGUAAACAAUUUUUCAUUAUUUUUUCUUUAAAAAUUAUGGUGGUAAGUUAAUUCUUAAUUGGAACAUUCAUCUCAACUUAACUAUGGUUAGGUUUCCUUCAUAAAAUACUUAACUAAGAUCAUGUUCUUAAUCAGAAUAUAUAUUAUCCACCUAGAUUUAAUUAUGAUUAAGUUUCACCUAUGAAAAACUUAAUUGAGAUCAAGGAUGAAAAUAUCGGUAAUCAUGGAUAUAUCGGUAUUUCGAUUUUACGGAUAUAUCAAUGGAUAUUUUGGAAAAAAAUAUCGAUAAGCUUAAAAUUGUUAAAAACUCAUGAAAAUGUAAGGAAAACCUCAUAAUAAUAUAAUUAGAAGUAUAAUAGACAUUUUAAAGUUAUUUUAUUGAAAAUUUUGAUAUAUGUAUAACAUGAUUUAUCAUAUUUAAUAAUAAUAUCGUAUGCAUCGAUAAAAAUAUGAAUUUUAUAAGUGUACAUUUAUUAUUAAAUUACACCUAAUAUUAUGAUAUUUGAUUAUAAUAUAUCUAAUUUUAAAAUAUAUAUUAGUAUUAAAAUAUGAUCAAUUUAAUUCAAUUGUAUUAAACAAUAUAAAAUAAAUAAUGAUAUAUAUAUAAUUUUUUAAUAUUUAAUUAAUUAUUAAUGAUAUUAAAAACAUUAUGAAGAAAAUUAUAUAAUUUUAUAUUUUUGGUAAUUAAUAAAAAGACUUUGCAUUUAAUUAUAAAAUAAUUAUAAUUAAUUUGCUCUUUAAAAUAUUAUUAUAUUUUCUUUAUAUAAUGAAUUUAAGUAUAUAUAUAGUUGUUGCAUAUUAUGUAUUAUUGGGCAACUUAGCCCAGGUGGUAAGCGAGUGAACCCCAAACCUUUUGGUUUGGGGUUCAAAUCCUCUCGGUAGCAAGCACGCGAGAAAUCGCCGCGAUUUCUCGUGAUAAUUUCUCACGAUAAAUCGCGAAAUAUCGUGUCGAAACCCUUCGAUACACGAAAUAUCGCGACAUAAUCAUAAUAUUCACUUUACGUAAUAAGUUUUCUAUUACGUUAACUAUCAUAGUUGUAAUUUACAUCUAUGAAAUUCUUUAAGGCUAUGUUUGGUUUUUAGAAAAGAAAAAGUAAAUGAAAAUAAAAAAAUAUAUUUAAAAAUAAUAAAUUAUUUUUAUGUGCUACUUUAAACUCAUUUUAUCUAUUUUAACUUAUCGAUAUAAAGAUUAAAUAAGUUAAAAAUUCAUAAGUUUAUUAUUAGUUUUAAUUAUAUUUGAUUUUUUUAAUAUUUUCCAUGAAACAACCAAACAUAAUAUAUAUAUAUAUAUAUAUAUAUAUAUAUAUAUAUAUAUAUAUAUAUAUAUAUAUAUAUAUAUAUAUAUAUAUAUCAAUAGAAGCUAAAAUAUAUCAUAGAUAAAUAAAGGAAAAAAAAAUUACAACUGUGAGAGUCAGCCCUACUCUUGGUAUUUAUGCCUUGAAUCUUGAGUAACAUGCACUUGUGUUCUCUUAAAAGAAAAAAAAAUAUAUUAAAAUGAAUAAUAUUUUAUAUUGUAUUUUUUUUACUAAAAAUAGUAUGUUCUAAGUAUUAUAUAGAGAUAUUUUUCACAAAAAUGAAAAAUAAAAUAGAGAAAUUUUUAAUGUGUCAAUCAAAACUAUUUCUAUAUCCACCAACUUUCUUUAUAUAACACAGAAAAAUAGGGUGUUUAUGAUGUGUACGUGUGGGACUCUUACAUGUUUUGUAAUACCCCCAAUGAGCCAGUACAUUCUUUAUUAAAAAAAAUGGAAUUUGAUUCACUUAUAUAAAAAUAUAUGAAAAAAAGAACCCCAAAAUUUUUAAAUUGGUAUUAUCUUCAUAUAUUUAAAAAUAAUUUGAAGUACAUGCACUUUUUAAUUAAUCAUCUAAUUAUUAUCAAAAAUGCUCUUUUUACUUACCAUGUCAUUCAAAUCAAUUGACAGACUCUUUUAUAUAUAUAUAUAUUUCAUUUUCAUUUAGAUAUUAUUAUUAUUAUUAUUUUACUAUUUUAUUAUUUGAGAUUUUUUUUUCUCUAGAAACAACAUCUCAUAGGAUUCUUAUUUUAGUUUCUUAAAAGUUUAGGAAAUAUUGUGCAUAAAAAAAUCCUAUUUAAAUAGGAUUAAUAUUUUUUUUUUAUUUCCUAGAAUUUUAAGAGAAAAUAUUGUCAAAAAAAUCCUAUUUAAUCAUAAUUACCAAUGCAAAAAAUAAUAAGGUUGUUUAUUAAAUAAUAAAUAAUAAAUUAUUUUAAUUAUGAUUAAUUUAUUUAAUAUAAAAUAAUUGUUUAUUUAUUUGUGUACCAUACAUCCUACAACCAUAUUAUAAAACAUUUUAUAUAUGAAAAACCCUUAUAACAAAAUUUAUUCUCUAUUAUGUUAAAAAAUUAUUAAUAUUAUAUAAUAAAUACAAAUUUAUUAUUAAUUUAUUUAUUAUAAAAAAUAUGAAUUUAUUUUAACUUAUUAAUACUAGAAUAAACUUUUUUUUUUCAAAUUCUUAUUUUAUAAUAUUUCUAGAGAAAAAAAAUUCCAAAUAAUAAAAUUAUUAUUAUUAUUAUUAUUAUUAUUGUUUUUAUAUAUUUUCAUAUUAGUAAAUCAAAUCACACUCUUCCCUUCUUUAUUGUUACUAUAGGGUAUUGAAGUACAAAGAGAUUUUACUUAUUGCUGUUAAUUAAGUGGUCUUUGGACUUUUGUUACUCUUCAUGACAUUUUUGGAUUAAUAGGUUUCCUGAUACGUUAAUUCGAACUUGCUCCAUCUAUUCAAUUGUAAUCUUAUAAUGCAAUCGCAUUCUUUGUUCCUGUUGCUAUUUUUGUUUUUAUAUUCCUAAUUUGUCCCGUAGGUGAGUUUGAUGGAUUCUUUGCACCUAUUUUUGGUAACUUUUUUCCUUUCAUUUCCUUCACUUUUCCCUUCAUUUUCUUCCUCAUGUUUUUUUAACAUUGAAAUUAAUGGUGGGUAACAUAGUGACAAUCAUCCACGAAAAUAUUAAAGCAUGCCAAAGAUAGAAAAUAAAUAAAUAAAUAAAAGUGGGGGGUUGGAGCAAUUUCCAUCUGUAGACCGUACACACUGUGACAUGUAGGAAUUAAUAUAGGAUUGUAGCAGCAACAGCGGGAGGCGGUGGGAUGAGGACAGGCCUUGGCAUCUCCCAAGCUCCACCUACUCGAGGGGCAAUGCACUCAAGGAUAUAUGCAGAAGGCAACAAACCUUUCAGACCUACACUCACUGCAUGCCCAUCAAAGUUAGCUGAUCAGACAAUUAGCCUGACUAUUUUGGGAAAAUGUUGUUCUUCUUGAUGCCAUGUUGCCCUAUAAAGCAUUAGGUAUAAUUAAAUUAGCUACUAAGAAACCAAUUAGACAAUUGAGAUUCAUAAGGAAGAAUAGGAAUUUAUAGAAGAUGAAACCAAAACUUAAACUAAUGCGUCACUCAUUUAUCCCCAAAUUAAACUAAAAUAAGUUUCUAACAAAAUCAUAACCUAAUGCUUUGAUGCCACUCUAUCAUGCCCCAAAACCCACUCUAAGGACAUGACGGUCAUUUCAUACCUUAAGCCCAAAGACUCAAAAUGGAAACGACACAAACAUUCGUAUUGUAAUUGGAAAUUUACCAAUUACCAAAUUCAUGUUCAAAGUAGUAUGAUAAUUCUAAAAUCUCCAAGUAUCAACUUUAAAAAAACUAAUAAUCAAUCAAAGUGUUAUUGUCUAAAUAACUCCAAAUUUAAAAUAAUUCAAACGAGAAUUAAGUUUUAAUAUCUAAACAAUCUCCAAAAUAAAGAAAGUUUAAACAAAUGUCCUAAUAAAGUCAAAUUUCCUUCAUAACGGUCACUUCUCGUCUGAACUGAGGUUACCUCAAAGAUUAUCAACAAAGGGGGAUGAACUCAAAGUUCAAUAAGGAACAUUAAUACAGUUUCAUGGUUCAAACAUUUUCAAUCAUGCUUGCAAAUAGGAGAUAUAACAUAUACUUAUUUUCAUAAAAACUUUUGAGUUCAAAAUGCUAAUACAUUCAAACUUUUCAACAAAACUUUCUCAUAUCCAUUUCAAAACAAUUUUUCAUCAAAUAAUUUUUCAUCAAAACCAAAUCGAAUACAUUCAAAAUAUCUUUACUCUAGUUAUCGUAUGACAAAUGGUGCCCAAUUAGGUGAGACUUCACAAUUGAGUAAUUAGUUUCAAAAAAAUUUGUUCCAUUUAAGGUGAGCAAAACUAAAUGUCAACAAUUAUAACCCUUUGAUUAUAGUCAUAAGGUCAACUAUUAUAAUCCGUUGACUAGGGUCAUAUAAUAUCAACUAUUAUAAUCCGUUGAUUAGGGCCGAAAAUGUUAACAAUUAUAACUCGUUGACUAGAAUCAUAUAAUCCAAAGUCAAACAUUUUAUUUCAUUAAUUCAAACUUACAAAACAAAACAUCAUAUCUCCUAAAUUUUUCAUUUUUCAUAAAUAAAUAAAAUUUUCAAAUAUACUUUCCAUACAAAACACAUAUUUGAUCCAUGCGUAAAGAUAAAAAUAAUAUUUUUACAUAUUUCAGAAUACAAUAUAAAAAAUAAAAUUAUUUCAUUUUAUAAAAAUCUACAUUAAUUUCCCUUACCUUGAAGAAGCACUCAAAAUCUUGAAGUAUUUAACUCUAAAGAAUUUCCUCCUCACCUAACAUAAUAUCAUACACAAUACUGAUUAUUGAUUAUUUAUCUAAAUAUAUAAAUUUGACAAUCCUAAAAAUAUUUUAUUUAGGAUCCUAAUUAUUUUAUCAUGUUAAUAUAAUUACCAUCCAAUAUAUUUUCAACUUCCUAAACAAUAAUUUAUUUAUCUUUUCUAACUUAUUUAAAUUAAAUCUUUUAAGAAUAAUUAUAUGCAUUAAACUAUUAUUACUAUUAUUUAAAUCUCCUAUUAAAACUUCAUAAAUACCCCAUGCAUUUUUUCUUCUUUUUAACAACUCUAUACCAACUCCAUUCAUUAUUAUUAUUUCUUUUAUUAUUAUUAUUAUUAUUAUUAUUAUUUUCAAUACCCAACAACACCUUGGCUUAUUUCUCUUCCAAGCCAUCGACGUCCUUUUCUUCCUCAUUGUUUACCAAAAUACUAUUUACUUCAUUUCCUAAGUUAACGUGCAAGCCAUUUCUUAGUUUUUUUUUUUUUUUCAACAUGCCAAAUCCUUCCAACCUACACACAUCUUUCAUCAUUUUUUUUUUCUCAUUUCUAAAGUCAAAACUUUUAAUCUCCAUACUCACGAAUUUUAUGAUAAUUUUCACAUCCGAAACUAUAUAUAUAUAUCUAGAUCUAUUCAUUUGAGUCAUCAAAAUUUGUCGGUCUCCAUUAAUAUAUCAAACUAUAUUCAUAAAUAUUUAAUCUUUUUUACUUAGAAAUUAAUUAAACAAACUCUAAUUAAAAUUGAGAUAUUCAAAGAAUAUUUAAAAUAUUCAAAAUUAAUUAACAAAUAUAAAUAUUAAUUUAAGGAUUAAAAAUCUUACAUAAACAAUUGAUUUUCAAACCCUAAACCUCAAAAUCUUCAACUUUAUGUUAUCUGAUUUUUGUGUAAAAGGGUUUUUUUGAAUAAAGAAUAUAGAAAAAAUCUAAUUUAUACCUAGACGUUUUAAAUAAAAAAAAACUUUUUUACCCUUAUUAAAUUACUUUAAUUAAUUAUUAAAUUAUAAUUUUACCCUUAAAUUGGGUAUGGGGCAUUACAUGUGUUUUUUGCCACACAUGGAAAUGGUAUCCCACACUGGUAGGCGUAUAUUACGGAGUAUAGUGUGGGGACCCCAGGUUUUUAAUCGUUUUGGUUCCUUCAUUUAUUAUAUUUAUGAAUCGUGCAAUUUACACUUUUGACCUUGGAUAUAGAGUGAAGCAUAAUAUUUGUUUGACCAAAUUUAAAUAUUUUUUUUUAACAAUAUUUGAACAAAUUAAUAGUUGAAAAUAAUUUAUAAUUAAGGAGUUGUUCAAAAAGAAUUCUGAUUUUUAUUUUUAAGAAUUAAAAAAUUUUAAAAUAGUUUACCAUUUUGUUUGAAACAUAUUAAUUAAAGUUUCUAUUAUUAUUAUUAUUAUUAUUUGAUAAUUGGUAAAUUUAAGGUAUCAUCAAUAAUAGGAUUUGAACCUACCAUACACUUUUCAGUAUUCGCCUUGAUCAAUUUGGCUACUCUAGCGGUAAAAGCUUCUAUUAUUUUAUGCCAUUAACGGUAAAAAAAAAAAAUACCACUCUAAUUAAUUCAAAUAAGAAUUAUGACUUUUGAUGAUGCAAAAUUCCACUUCUUAUUCAUCAAUUUGUCCCAUGUAUAAAAUAAAGCUAAAUAUUUUAUUAGUAUAUGGAAAAUGUAAACACUUUGUGGGUAUUAAAAUAAAAUUUAGGGUAUUAAAAUAAUAUUAUAGAAUUUUUAAUGUGUGAGUUAAUUUUAUUGACAUUUUCAAAAGAUUUAAUUAAAUAUAUUUGACUGUUAGUUUGAAAUUUCAUCGUAUGCAAUGUCUUGAUUACCUUUCUCAUUUGAUAUUUCCAUUUAAUUUUUAUGAAUUUUUAAAUCAGCUAUUUGCAUUUCGAACUUCGAGAGGGGUGAAUGCCGAUGAUGGGAAAAAAAAACAACCAACUAUUAAUAAAACUUGGAUACAAAUAAAUGUGAUAAUGGUAAGGUAAUGAUGGGGAAAUAAUGGGCCUACAGGGGAAGGUUGGUGGAAUUAUAGCCUCUUGCACUACCAUAAAAUCGUGAUUCAAGCCAGGAACAAAGCCGAAGCCAUAAUGGGUUCUUCAACAGAAGAAAGGCAGUACAGCCAUGGCAGUACCGGUGAAGAAGAAGAAGUACAAGAGGCAGAGCACUACUGCAAUGCCAUGCAGUUGGUGGCCUCCUCUCUGUUACCUAUGGUUAUGCAAACGGCCAUUGAGCUUGGCCUUUUUCAUAUCAUUGCCAAAGCUGGUCAGGCCUCUGCCUCAGAAAUAGCAUCCCAGCUGCGUGCAAACAACCCGGCCGCACCCAUCAUGUUGGACCGCAUCCUCUACUUUCUCACCUCUCACUCUGUCCUCACUUGCUCUGCGCUUGAUGCUGAUGGUGGGCGGCUCAAGAGGGUGUAUGGAAUCACACCUGUCUCCAAAUAUUUUGUCCCUGACCAAGAUGGCAUUUCAUUGAGCCCAUUGCUGACAUUGACUCAGGACAAGGUCUUCAUGGAUAGCUGGUCAGUCUGCUCUAUCUUUUUCGUUUUAUCUACCUUGUCUGUGGGGUCACAACUGACUCCAGAUAUCUCUCAAUACUUCUUCGGGUGCCAUCUGAAUAACUCAAUUAUUGAAGGAGGAAUACCAUUCAACAGGGCCCAUGGAGUAAACGCAUUUGAGUAUCCUGGCAAGAACCCCAGAUUCAAUCAGGCCUUCAACACGGCCAUGCUCAACCACACAAUUAUGAUUACUAAUAAAAUCGUUGAAUCCUACAAGGGUUUUGGGAAUCUUAAGCAGGUGGUGGAUGUUGGUGGCGGUCUGGGAACCACACUUGGUAUAAUCACAUCAAAAUACCCCAGCAUCAAGGCAAUUAAUUUUGACUUGCCUCACGUUAUACAGCAUGCUUUGCCUUAUCCUGGUAUUUCUUUGUAUAGUCUCAUUUCACCAAGUUCAGUUUUGAAUUCACAAGUUCCCCGAGUUGAAAUUGGGUGAUUCAAAUUUGUUGCAGGGGUGGAACACCUUGGAGGAGAUAUGUUUGAAAGUGUUCCCAAUGGAGAAGCCAUGUUUCUGAAGGUGGGUUUAAGUUUCUCUUAAUAUACUAAACAUGAUAAUACCAUUUCUGAUCUAAUGAUUUGUCAAAUCAUAUGUAGUGGAUACUUCAUGACUGGAGUGAUGAACACUGCUUGAAGUUGUUGAAGAACUGCUACAAAGCUCUGCCAGAGCAUGGCAAGGCAAUUGUGGUGGAGGGGUUUCUCCCAGAAAUACCGGAGGGGAGUGCUUCUGUGCAAGCUCUCUGUGAAGGAGAUUUGAUUAUGAUGACUCAAAACCCUGGAGGAAGGGAGCGGACAAAGCAGGAGUUCCUGGACCUGGCAAUGGCAGCUGGAUUUGCUGGCAUCAGAUUUGAGUGCCUUGUGUAUAAUUACUGGAUCAUGGAAUUCUUCAAGUAAACAGUACUUAUAGUCAGACUCUUAUCUAUUCACGUUUGUGAGUGAAAAGUUGUGUUUGGAAGGUGAGAAACCAAAAUAAUUAUAUUUGAUCAAUGAACAUCUGCUGGUAUGUGAAUCAUGUGAUUCACGUCUUCAUUUGAUUCCAUUGUUGUAAACUUCAUUUAUCAUCAUCAAAUUACUUAUACAUUUCAGCAAAUUGUAACACAUUUUUAUUACAUCUAUAGGCAAUAUUAUCUUGCAAUCAAGUGUGAACCCAACCCGUUCAUAAAUAAGUUGGGUCAUAAAGGUUGUUUGGGUAUGAUUAAAUAAAUAGGUUAGACAAGUUGAGUAAUCAAAUUUGAAUACAUCCCAUUCAUAAACAAGUCAUAAAGGUCAUUUUGAUGUCAUUAAAUAAAUAGGUUAGACAAGUUGAGUAGUCAAAUCCGAAGCCGAUAUUUGAUCAUAACACGAACAUGACAACAUCUAAACCAAACCCGCUCAAAUUCAUAUUGUUUUUUUUUUUUUUUUAAUGGGCUAGACCAGGCUGAAUACCCUCGUAGUUGGGCUUCAAGCUAGCUAGGCCCAGGCCACCCCUACCCAAAGCCCAAACUGGCUUUAGGCAAUUCUUGGGCCGAAUUGGAAGUUAAACUUGAGUCCAACACCUUAAUAUGCACAUUGUAAAAUGAAAACAAUACAAAAGUUAGUUCAAUAGCAUGUAAAAAAUUCCAACAUUUAGAAAGUUCAAAUUUCAUCUCUAGUGUAACUAUUAAGAUCUUUUGUAUUAAUUUUAGUUGUUGACGAUUUUGUUCGUUGUUGACGAUUUUGUUCCUUUUCAUUAUAGUAUAAAAUCUAAAAAUAUCCACUGAAGAUUCAAGGUUGUUGUUCACUCAAUUGGAUUAUAACAAAUAAAUUUGAAGUGCUAAAACAUUCAAGUGCUAAAAGUCACAACUCAAGCACUUAAAUAAGCACCUCGAAGGUUAAGUCUGCUUGAGCACUCAUGCUGAGAAUUGUCAAUCAAGCUUUCAAUAACAUUUAUGAGUCUUUUUUUUUCCCAUUAUUUAUCAUAUAUAUAUAUAUAUAUAUAUAUAUUAGGUUUUGAUACUUGGCCUAACUUGGAUUUGCCCAUGGAAUAGGUUGGGGCUUAAAAAAUCAAUCUGAACCCAACCUUAAAGGGAUUGGAUUGGGCUCAAAUCAUGCUUCAACCCAAAAAAUUCGAACAGACUCAAGUUGGUCAUAUACUAAAUCCAAUUCUCUUCGAAGUUAUAUAUAAGAUUACAUGACACAAAUGACAUGUUUUAUAUAAGUCCCGAAUAUAAUAGUUGAAUUUUUUGAAGUGGUACUAUAUGUGAGAACGUUUAUGUCCUCGGAAUAACUAGUACAACUAACUAACAAAAGCUAAAGUAGCUCGUUAAAAUGAAGGUUACAAAUGCAUAACUAUACUACAUAUAUAUAUAUAUAUAUAUAUAUAUAUGUAGUAUAGUUAUGCAUUUGUAACCUAUAUAUAUAUAGGGUUUUUCUAUAAUGAUACUGUUACCACAAAGUGUAUUAAAGAGGUACCAUUAGGAUGAGCUCGGUAUUGCACCCAAGAGGUACCAUAAAAUCUUUCUAGGAGUGAGUUAUAUGGAAAUAGGUGGCAUACUAGACCAUCAGCUCAUAUUUUGUAUGACCACAUCCAGGUACCAACAUGUACAACAUGAGGUCAUGUUUAGUUAGAUGGAUUUACUCAUACGUUAUAUGUGUGUUGUGUUAAAAUAUACAUAAUCAUCAUUCAAUGAGAUUUAGUAAUGGAUGAACGUGUUUAACAAUUUUCUUAAAAAUAAAUUUUAUACAUGAAAUAUAUCUAUAGGGAUGUUAACUACAAAAUUUGAAAUUAACAUUAGUUAAACAUAUUUAAACCAAAAUGUUAGGAGAUGUGAAUGAAAUUAACAUUAAUCAAAUAUAAGAUAGGAUAAAUGAUACAAUAAUUUAUUAAACUUUUAUUUUAAUAUCCCUUUUACAUUAAUUAAAUAUAAUAAUUCUAAGUUAAAGAUAUGUAUUAUACAUAUUGCAAAGAUUAUAAAUUUAUUCUUCUUAUCCAUUUUUCUUAUUUUUUAAAAAAAAUAUUUUUAUAAUAUCAAUUGUAAAAUAAAAAAAUAACAUUCAAAGACCCAAAAUUAAUUACGAUCCUUUGAUUUUUUUUUUUAAUCUGAUCAAAUAAAUUAAAUUGAUUUAAUUAGUCAAAUUUAAUUCUUAUAGCCGCUUGGGCUUUCAAGCUGUAGUCGUGUAGGUUUUAAGGUUAUACCCAUUUAGUAUUUUCUCUCAUUUUACCACUACAACGGCAAUGUAUGUGGUCCUCCCAUGAUAGUCUUUUGUUACGUGACUAGAGUUUCGUCACAAUAGCACGGUCUAUGCGACACCCCCCUGUAAGCCUAUUCAAGGUGCUCAGUCUGCACGUCAUGCUUUUCAAAUGCUUUAUAUUGACUGGUUUCAUCCUGCUAUCAACUCAUUAGGGAAACAAAUCCAAAUCCUGAUCAAUUUGUGUAGGAGCAACCAAGUUUUUUUUUCAUUGUUAAGUCAAUGACUAUCGACAAACUCCUCAAACACAAUCGGGUCGACAUGCAUGAACUCCAAAGAAUUUUCCGACAACACCUACAUACCCAAUGCCUCAAGCAUGAUCCUCACUACAUUUUGCUUUAACCAACCAACUUAUUCUUCUUGAUAAGCACUUCCGCUACACUAUUAUGGACACUAGACAAACAAUAUGUGACACUUUGCACAUCUACAACCACCAUUGUACCAUUGCAUCUUCCAUUUUUCCGCUGUUAUCCCAAGUUAUUUUUGCCACUAUCGCACCCUACUCUAUUACAACACUUGAACAUUACUAUAUUCUAAUUGCAAUCUCUUAGGAUUUUCUUUAAGUUCAAGUAGUGUUGUAUCUUGCUAACGAUGUGCGCAUAAAAAGAGGUUUGACUAUUAAAUCCUAGAGGUGGGACAAUGGUUCCCUACUAUACCGAGGUUGAUACUUGAGGAGGUAGAUUUACUUUAAGGAUAGUGCUUUAUCACAUCUCAAUCAAUUAAAUCUGAUAAGUACCUAUUUCAAAUUUAUUUUCUUGUUUGCUUUUUUUUUAGGGUUGGCCAACUUUUGUUUACUUUCAUUCCAUGAAACCUAAUUUACCAACAAAAAGGAAUUCCUAGAGUUGGUAAAGUUGUGAGAUUUAAAUGGUUUGUUCUUGCUUAUUGGGUAUGGAAUACUUUAAGUAAACCAUAGUUAUCUUUUUGCAUGGUUUUGGGAAAGAGAUGGCAUGCCAUGUUCUAUAAUAAGAUUUUCCUAAUAAAAUGAGAGGCCCAAAGGGAUUCCGUUUGUCUAUUGAUAUGUUGUGCAAAUAGGACUUUGAUAAUGAAAUUUCAUAAAGUGGCCUAGUUGUACCACCAGGCAAUGGCAGCUGGAUUUACUGGCAUCAGAUUUGAGUGCCUUGUGUAUAAUUACAAGAUCAUGGAAUUCUUCAAGUAAACAGCAUACAUAGUUUAAUCAGUGAAAAAUUGUGUUUGGAAGGUGAGAAACCAAAAUAAUUAAAUUUAAUCAAUGAACAUGUGCUGGUAUGUGAAUGAUGUGAUCCACGUCUUCAUUUGAUUCCAUUAUUGUUGUAAACUUCAUUUAUCACUACCGCUUUCAUCAAGUUACUUCUGACAUUUUCAUUAGCACGUAGGCAAUAUUGUUUUACAGCCAAUAAACAAGUUGGAUCAUAAAGGUGAAUUUUGACAUGAUUAACUAAAUAUAAGUUAUAUAGGUUGAACAGUCAAACCCGAACAUGAUCUACCAUUAUGACCCGAACACAAUUACACCUAACUCAAACCCGCUAAAAUUUAUAUUGUUUUUUUUUCUUUUUUCUUUUUUCUUUUUUUAAUUAUGUUGUGAUACGUGUCAAAAUUAUCACCAUUGUUCCCGCACUUGCUACACACCUGACCUCAUGUAAAUGGGCUAGACCAGGCUUGGCUCAGACCCUCUUGGUUGGGCUCCAGGCUAGGCUCGGGACUCCCCUACCGAACCCCAAAUGGGCCUUUGGAUAGUUCUUGGGCUGAGUUGGAUGUUAAACUUGAGUCCAUGCCUGUCCCAGGCCCAAAAGUAGUUUAACAGUUAGCAUGUUAAAAUUCUCAGCUUUUGGAAGGUUCAAAUCUCAUCUCUUGCAUAACAUUUAUGGAUAAUGCUUAUCAUAUAUACAUAUUAGGUUUUAAUACUCAGCCCAAGACCCUAAAGGGAUUGGAUUGGGCUUGAAUCAGGCUUUGACCCGAAGUUUUUUAACAGACUUAUAUGAAGGAAUAUAUAAGUAAGACUACAUGGCACACUUAGCAGGUUCUAUAUAAAUCCCCAAUAUGGGAUUCAAAUUUUUUAUUGUAUUAUAAAAAAUAUAAAGGAAAUUCAAAUAUAAUUAAAAUUAAUUAGAAAUUUAUAUAUUUUUAAAUUAUUUAAUUUUUAUAUUAAAGAGUUAAAAUAAAUUAAAUAAGUUUAAAGUAGUAUAUAAAAAUAAUUCAUUGACUUUAAAUCUAUUUUUUAUUUUUCUUUACUACUUCUUCUUUUCUAUUUUUAUAUUUUCUUUAAAUUUUUUGAAAACCAAACAUAACUGGGUAAAGCACAACUUCAAACAAUAUUGAUUAUAACGCUUCAUAUCACACAGUCAAUUUAGGUUCACAUCAACACUAAUUGAUAUCAUUUAAGAAAAGUCUUUUUAAGAAAAAAAGAAAAAACCUUCAUUAUAUCAUCUAAAAUUCAAUUGGUAUUAAAAAAAAUAAAAAUUAAGUCAUUUAUAAUAUUAAACCAUCAUCAUUUGAAUGACUCAUACUUAGAAUCAGAAGCAAUAUUUAUUGGAUCUUGAAGUAGUCCUAACUCCCAUGUACUUCUUAGAGAGCACAUUUGGUAAUGUCUCAAUAAACCUUUGGUUGGUACUUGUAGAUUCUCAAUAUAUAUAUAUCAUUGAUUUAAAAUUUCGUCCAAUAACAAUCUUAUAAAUAUAUCUCAUAUAUAAAAUUUAUUUUUAGGGAAUUAUUAACACAUUUAUGUAAAAAAAUUUAGACUAUGUUUGGUUCUUAAAAAAUUUGAGAGAGCGUUGAAAUGAAAGGACAUGGUGGAGGGCAAUGUUCAUGCCGAACUACAAGAAGGCCCCCAAAGGGAAAGGGUUGAAACGAAAGGACAUGGUGGAGGGUAAUGUUCAUGCCAAAGUCCAAGAAGGGCCGCCAAGGGAAAGGGUUGAAAUGAAAGAACAUGGUGGCGGUGGAAGGUUACAAGACAAUGAUGUAAUGUAAAUGAUCGAGUAUAAAUAUCUAUGAUCUAUUUUGCUUAGGCAUACUUUGCUUAGGCAUAAUUGGAAAGUUGAUUUAACUGGUCACGAGGGGAAGUAAUACAAGAGUAUAUAUAAACUACAAAAAUGGGUCAAAGUGGAUUUUCCCACACUAGCUCUUUCGGGUAUUAACUCCACCAAAGAUGAUCCGAGGAGAAGCUUUGGUUACACUUGUUACAAUUUUUUACUGUCCAAUAACCAAAAUGAUUCUAAAGUAAAUAAUAAUUAGUUACACCAAAAUAUGAUCAGAGUUGGAACCACAUCCAUAACCCAAGUCAAUUUGUGAGGUUAAUAUUUUGAAAAGAGCCAAUGACAUUGAUUGAGCCAAACAAAUCCAAUGAUAUCCAAUUAGGAUGUCCAACCAUAUCUUAAAAUACCACCAAAAAUUUUUGAAAAGAAUCAAGUUAAAGAAUUUGUACCCAAAUGGGAUCUAAUGGUAUUUUUUUUUGAAUCCAUACCCAAAAAAUAUAAAAUAUAAGCAAAAGAUCAAAAGCAAGGGAAUAGAGUAUUCAACUUAUAGAUAAUUCACAUGAUUUUUUCGUUUAUUAUCAGGAUUUUGCUUGUAAGUGCAUGUGCAGAAAUUCAAUUUACAUAUGCCUAAAACUGUUUCAUUAAAUAAUCGGAUAGAUGAUCUAGGAGAAGUCUAGAAAUUGUCAUCAUCAAAUGCAUCACUUGAAGAUGUUUUCAACCCAGAGUUAAAAAAAAGGAGAAUAAUAAUAAUAAAUUAAAAAAAAAAAGGUGGGUUGGCCAGAGUUUGGCCAAAGACCCUAUACCAUGCACGACCUGCCCAAAAAUCUGGCAGAAAUUGUCCAUGUAGAUAUCCAUUUCUAUAGCAUUCUUGAAAAGAAGAAGAAUUGGCUGAAUGAUUAUUAUUGAUGUUGAAGUGUGUAUUUAUACAAGGAGGUUUGAGAUCUUUCUCUACAAGUCAGGAAUCAGCUUACCAUAUUCUAGACUAUCCAUCUAUAAGUCAGGAAUUACAAUAGGAAAACUAACAUAUACAAAUCAUCUAUUCUUAAUAUGAAAGAUUUAGAAAUAUUGACUUUCUAACACUCCCCCUCAAGUUGGAGAGUGGAUAUCCUGCACUCCCAACUUGCGAAUCAUAGGAGCAAAAAACUCCUUUCCCAAUGGUUUAGUCAAAAUGUCUGCAAGUUGGUGCGCUGAGCUCACAUGUCUUGUAAUAAUGGAACCAUCUUGGAUCUUGUCCCUAAUAUAGUGACAAUCCAUCUCAAUGUGUCUAGUACGCUCAUGGAAAACAGGGUUGGCUGCAAUGUGCAAUGCUGCCUUGUUGUCACAAUACAACAAGGCAGGUUCCUUAUGUAAAACACCCAAAUCUUUCAAAAGGUACCGAAGCCAUGUCAACUCACAACAAGCUCCUGUCAUUGCACGAUACUCUGCUUCGGCUGAAGAGAGUGACACUGUUUUCUGUCGCUUUGAUCUCCAAGAAAUCAGUGAAGGUCCAAGGAAUACACAGUAGCCUGUAGUGGACCUUCUAGUAAGUGGACAACCUGCCCAAUCAGAAUCACAAUAGGCUCUCAAUCUGAAAUCAUUAUUCGAAGAGAAGAACAGACCUUGACCAGGUGCAUUCUUAAGAUAACGUACAACUCUGAACGCUGCUUCCAUAUGAGCCUUUCUCGGUUGAUGCAUAAACCGGCUUAACACAUGAACUGCAUAAGUGAUAUCUGGCCUCGACACAGUUAGAUAUAUUAACCUUCCAACCAAUCUCCUAUAACGACCUUGAUCCUUGAGCAAAUCGCUCUUAUCAGACAAUUUCAAUCCUCGUUCCAUAGGUGUAUCAAUAGGGGCAGCGCCCAACAAUCUUGCAUCCUCAAUAAUCUCUAAUGCAUACUUACGUUGGGAAAUAAAAAUCCCAUUUUUAGAAGCAGAAACCUCAAUGCCAAGAAAGUAUUUUAAAUCACCCAGAUCUUUGAGAUGAAAAUGACUAUGCAGAAAUUUUUUUGUUGUAGCAAUGCUCACAGGAUCAUUUCCAGUAAUCAGAAUAUCAUCAACAUAUAUCAAGAGGGCAGUAAAGGACUUGCCUUGUUUUUUGGUGAACAAAGAAUAAUCGGCUCGAGAUUGUGCAUAACCGGCGGAUUGAAUAGCUUCUGAGAACUUGGCGAACCACUGGCGAGAAGCUUGUUUCAGACCGUAGAGUGAUUUAUGAAGGCGACAUACCAAGUUUUCCUCCCCCUGUCGCCGAAGCCCUAGCGGCGGAGACAUAUAUAUUUCCUCAUGUAAGUCGCCAUGAAAAAAAGCGUUGUUAACAUCCAUUUGAUGAAUAGACCAGCCACGGGCUGCGGCCAAUGCAAGCAAGCAGCGGACAGAUAUGAUCUUGGCGGUGGGGGAAAAGGUAUCCUGAUAAUCGACACCUUCUAAUUGAGUAAAGCCUUUCGCUACCAAUCGUGCUUUGUAACGCUCAAUAGACCCAUCUGAACGGUGUUUAAUUUUAUACACCCAUCGACAGCCAAUCGGUGUCUUGCCGGCCGGAAGUGGAGUGAGAGACCAAGUGCCAUUAGCUUGGAGAGCUUGCAAUUCAGAACGCAUUGCCUUCUGCCACUCAGGAUGAGCGGCUGCUUCCGAAUAAGACCUGGGUUCUGUGACAGCACUAUGUUGAGCAACAAAAGAUCUAUAUGCAGGCUUAUAUCUGUGAUAAGAAACAUAAUUGGCCAGUAGAUAUCGUGUACCUUUAGUUGGACCUGGAAUCAAGGAAGACGAUUGAUUGGAGGAAACGUGGGAGCAAACAUAAUCGUGGAGCUUGAUUGGCGGGGCGAUAUGGCGGCUAGAGCGACGGAGCGGAGUGGCUGGUUUGGGUGAGUGUGUUUCUGGUGAAAAGAUGGGUGUCUCAGCUGGAGGAGCGGACGGGAUGGAUGCAAACGGUGGCCCCGGAGAAGGCGAUACUAGAGUUGUAGAAGGCGAUGGUGAAGGGUUUGGAUCAAUCUGAGAAGAAGGUUCGAUAAUGAGUUCGGAAGGUCGAGAAGGAGAGGAAAAGUCAUCAUUUUCUGUGGUGGGAGACGGUGUGCUUGUGUGGUUGGAAAGAAGAGGGGAAAGUGCGUGAGAAGUAGAGUCAAAGGAGGAAGAGAUGUCGUGGGCCACUAAGGGGAUUGGACCAGAAUUAUGGGUCAACGAAGGGAGAGUAGAGUUGGGCUUGAGAGAGACAUAAGGAAAAAUAUCUUCAUGAAAUUUGACAUCUCGGCUAGUAAAGACCUUUUUGGUUGAUAAAUCAAAUAAUUUGUAUGCUUUUUGACCAACAGGAUAACCGAUGAAGAUGGAUGGCAUGGCACGGUAAUCAAAUUUGUGAGAGGUGUGAACAUUGGUGGCAUAGGCUAAACAUCCGAAAACACGGAGAUGGGAGUAAGAAGGUGGUUUUGAGUAAAGCAAUUCAAAAGGAGUUUUGAAAGACAAUAUUGGUGAAGGUAACCGAUUGAUGAUAUGUACGGCAGUGAGAGCACACUCCCCCCAUAAAUUNNNNNNNNNNAUACGGGCGGUAACGAGCAAUUUUUAUCUUUAUGCAAUAACUUAGAGGAUGAAGUAAUAUGAUCUGUCGCCCCACUAUCAAUAAUCCAAUUGCGGGAAGCGACUUUGGACAAACCUGGCUUUGUUACCGCAUUCACUUUGGAACUAGAGUUUUCAUCUUGGUUAUUAAGAAGUGACAAAAGUUGCUUGAGUUGGGCUUCUGACAAUGCAACUGCAGGUUUCCCUUCAUCUGCCUCAGAAACUUGGUUAGCCGCAGAAAAACUUUUAUUCCGAUUUGAGUUUGAGCCUAAGUUCAUUCUUGCUUUAGGAUGGUCUGGUGGGUAUCCAUGUAGUUGAAAACACUUUUGGACCCAAUGACCCAUAUCUCCACAAUACGAGCACUGGGGACGUCCUCUACCAGAACCCAUGCGGCGCCGAUCUUGAUCAAAAAAUGGUCUGCCAUCUUGUCCUUGAGAAGACCGAUUCUCCCGGAAAUUUUGAGAACCAGAGGGGCGAUUAGUCGGUUCCAUCCUUCUUGUGUUCGAUCGAUCUAUUCCGUCCUUCCAAGUUGUCGAAGACUUUCCGUUGCUGCGCACGGCCAUAGCAGCACUUGCGGCAGAUUCCGCUGCUGCGUUCGUCGAAGUGAGGAGGCGUUGCUUUUCUUCUUGAGAGAUAGAGGAGUAUGCUUGGCAGACAGAAGGAAGAGGAUUCAUCAGGAGGAUUUGCCCGCGAAUAGCACUGUAAGAUUCAUUCAAACCCAUCAGAAAUUGCAUCAAUUUUUGUUGAUCUUGUUGUGCCCCAUGUGCUGCAGCGUUGUAGGAAGCCAGUUCAUCCCACAGGCCUUUCAAUUUUGUGUAAUAGGCAGAGACAGAGAGUUGCUCUUGUCGAAGACAAGCAAUAUCUCGCUGAAUUUCAAAGAUGCGAGGCGCAUUGCUCUGAGAGAAUCGCUCACAGAGAUCUUCCCAAACUUCAUGAGAAGUAGAAUAAUAAAUUACACUGUCCGCAAUUUCUGGAUUGAGAGUGUUGACGAUCCAAGAGUGAACCAUGUCGUUACACCGUGACCAAGUCGCAUAACCUUCAGGAUCAAUUUCUUCUGAAGGAGCCUUGAUCGAGCCAUUAACAAAACCCAAUUUGUUCUUGGAGUUUAAAGCUAGAAUCAUAGCCCUUUUCCAAGCCGAAUAAUUGUCUCCAUUCAAAGAUUUGGAAAUCAAAACCAAACCUGGGUGAUCUGAAUGGUGAGUGAAAUAGGGAUUGGAGAGAUCUGCCUUUGAGAAAUUCGUAGGAAUCUCUGAUUUUGCCAUGAUGAUUGAAGAAAAGAGAUGCUACACGAGAGAGAUUAGAGUGCAGCAAUGAAUCAGGAUUUUAGUCCUGCUCUGAUACCAUGAAAAGAAGAAGAAUUGGCUGAAUGAUUAUUAUUGAUGUUGAAGUGUGUAUUUAUACAAGGAGGUUUGAGAUCUUUCUCUACAAGUCAGGAAUCAGCUUACCAUAUUCUAGACUAUCCAUCUAUAAGUCAGGAAUUACAAUAGGAAAACUAACAUAUACAAAUCAUCUAUUGUUAAUAUGAAAGAUUUAGAAAGAUUGACUUUCUAACAAUUCUAUAUAAUGUACAGAGGUGUGGUGGUUUGGAUCAUCACGAAGAAAUUGAGUGAGAGAAAGGGACAGUUGUUUACCAAUCAGAGCCAAUAAUGGGGUCUUCAGCAGAAGAGAAACAGAGCAGCAGGCUAUGCCAUGAGGAUGGUGAUGUAGAGCCCUGCUCCUACGCCAUGCAAUUGGUGACCUCCUCUGUGUUGCCCAUGGUUAUGCAGACCUCCAUUGAGCUAGGCCUUUUUGAUAUCAUUGCCAAAUUGGGUCAGGCCUCUGCCUCAGAAAUAGCUUCCCGGCUGCCUACAAAGAACCCAGAGGCACCCAUCAUGCUGGAUCGUAUGCUCUACCUUCUUACCACUCACUCUGUUCUCAGUUGCUCUGCCAUUGAUGGUGAUGAGAGGGUGUACGCACUCACACCUGUCUCCAAAUACUUUGCCAGUAAUCAAGAUGGAGUUUCCUUCGGCCCACUACUGGCUUUGAUACAGGACAAGGUCUUCAUGGAUAGCUGGUCAGUUUGCUUCUUUUCCCUCUCCCUCCCCCUGCUGAGCAUACUUUUAACCCCCACAAUUCUCAUAAUCACAACCCAUAAACCCAAUUUCCAUGGAUUUAUCUGUAAACCCGUUUGGUAUGUUGUGAUUACUGAAAAUAAAUCCUGGUCUCCAAACCAAAAAGUUCUAAUUUUGUUGAGUUUUUUCAUAUGAACCAAACAAGUGACGAUCACGUUUAAACUUUUUGCAUUUCAAACCUAAAAAGACCAGGCAUAGCAAUUUGAAAUCAACCAUUUAACUUACUCUGUUUAGACUCAUGGUGAAUUCCAAACCUAAAAGGUGGUUCCAUUUAAUGAUACAGACCAAGACAAAGGGGAAAUAUGAAGAGACCAUGUUUUCACCUUCAGCACCUAGAAGUGAUUCUUUUUAUGCCUUAUCUCAUCAUGUACUUUUUCAAAUUAGAUGUACGAAAAGAAUAAGCUGUUAGGUGUGAAUUGUGGGUUUGGGAUCGUGUUGAAGUACUAAUAUUAGUAGUGAAGAGAUGUUAGUAAAAUGAUGAUCUGAUAGAAGAACUAUGAUUUUAUGCACAUUUUCUAGAUCUCUUUGUUCAUUGCUGUGUCUUUUCCAGUUAGAUAACUUCAGCUUUCCAUUCACUUCAGGUCCCAACUGAAAAAUGCGAUUAUUGAAGGAGGAAUACCAUUUAACAGGGUCCAUGGAUCUCAUGCAUUUGAGUACCCUGGCAAGGACCCCAGAUUCAAUCAGGUUUUCAACACGGCAAUGUUCAACCACACAACGAUAAUUGUUAAUAAGAUCCUUGAGUCCUACAAGGGUUUUGAGCACCUUACACGGGUGGUCGAUGUUGGUGGCGGUCUGGGAACCACCCUUAGCAUAAUCACAUCCAAAUACCCCCAUAUUGAGGCUAUUAAUUUUGACUUGCCUCAUGUUAUAGAACAUGCUGUGGCGUUUCCUGGUAUAACUUUUUACUUCCUGUUUCCAAAUAAUUUUAUUGAAGUGUUAGUUUAGUUUGGGCUCAAUUUUGUUGCAGGUGUGGAACACAUUGGAGGGGAUAUGUUUGAAAGUGUUCCCAAAGGAGAUGCCAUUUUUAUGAAGGUGAGUUUGAGUCUUUCCAGCAUCCUAACCAGCAUAUUGGAUGCUGUAUUGAUAGUUAAAAAAACAUGCAUGUAGUGGAUACUUCAUGAUUGGAGUGAUGAUCACUGCUUAAAGUUGUUGAAGAACUGCUACAAAGCUCUACCAGAGCAUGGGAAGGUGAUCAUUGUGGAGGGGGUUCUUCCAGAAAUACCGGAAAAGGGAUCUACUGUGAAAGCUAUCUGCCAAACAGAUUUGAUAAUGUUGACUCAAAACCCUGGAGGAAAGGAGAGGACAAGGAAGGAGUUCCUGGACUUGGCAAUUGGAGCUGGAUUUGCUGGCAUCAGAUAUGAAUGCUAUGUCUCUUGUUAUUGGGUUAUGGAAAUCUUCAUGUAAACAACAUAUGGUUAAUUGUCAUGGUACUGUUUGCAAUUGUUUAUGAAACAACUUUGCAAAAGGGAAUAACUCUGUAAUGGUUCUGUUUUAUGCAAUUAGUGUUUGGAGUAUGAUCAACCAAAGUAACUUUAAUCAAUAAUGCAGAUGCUUCAGUUCGUGUUCAUUUCUUUUCCUUUAUUUCUUUUGUCUUCGUUUACUUCUUGUUUUGAUUCCACUGUUGUUGCAACCCCUACACUGAUCACAACCACCACCACCACCACCACUUUAAACAUUUCCAUGGCUGCUGCCAUAGCCAAUGGUUAACAUGUUUAGAUUUAUGAUUGUAGUCAUUGCAUUACAUUCCACAAACAGUACAAUGGUGAUCAGGUUGAACCGGUCUGACUGAAGCAAAAUUAUUGGGCUCUGUUUUUGGUAUCAAUAGCUUUAAAGGAGUUUUCAGAAUUUAUGCAAAGUGGGUUAUGGCUUUCCUUGGUUUCUGACAUAGAUCUCAUAUCAAUGAUAGGAAAACUUUCAAUCAUAACCAUUCCACCAUGAAGAUUCCACAUGCUUUUAGAGUCGAGCAGAAAACUCCAAAGUCAUUAUAGUGCAGCUUAGGUUCAUUUAUGAUAAUGGCCCAAUAAGAUUAGAGUGUGCCUUAAGAGGACAAUGAAAAGGAGAACAACGAGGACAACCCCAAGUUGCAAAUAAAGAAAAUGUUGUGCAUUCUUCAUCCUUUCUUUUCCCAAGGAAAGACCGUCUUCAGAAACCCAUAUACUUAAUUUACAUUUUUUAUGCAGGUGUUGCUUUCUUUUCUUAGGGAAUUGAAGUGAUCAUGAAAACAGGGGUUAUUGGCCAAGCAGUUACCUAGUCCUUUGAGGUCUUACAAUCCUGAGUGUUUCCAUCCUUCCCUUUUGGUAUGGCCUCUGUGGGAAAUUUAUUUCUAAUGCUCACUAUUGCUGAAUUUCUACACCGGGGUCUUUCAUGGGAUCUAUUUUGGAAGUUUUCUGGCUAACUUGCUAUCAUUCCUUAUCCAUUUUGUCCUUUUGCUUUCAUUUGGGCUACACAAUAAGACAUUGUCUGUCGAGUUUUUUAUUAUCUUCCACGGUAAGCAAUGGUAGCUGGAUUUGCUGGCAUCAGAUUUGAGUGCCUUGUGUAUAAUUACUGGAUCAUGGAAUUCUUCAAGUAAACAGCAUACAUAGUUUAAUCAGUGAAAAAUUGUGUUUGGAAGGUGAGAAACCAAAAUAAUUAAAUUUAAUCAAUGAACAUCUGCUGGUAUGUGAAUCAUGUGAUCCAUGUGAUCCAUGUCUUCAUUUGACUCCAUUGUUAUUAUAAACUUUUAGUAAGUUUGGUAGUGAUUCUAGAAAACGUUUUUAUUAUUAUUAACACUUGAAUGAUAGAAAAUUUUAAGUGUUAAAAAUGUUAGAAACGCUUUCUAAAAUCAUUGUCAAACGAGUUCUUCAUUUAUCGUCACCACUUUCAUCAAAUUACUUCUGACAUUUUAGCAAAAUGUAUUACAUCUUCAUUACGCAAUAUUAUUUUACAACCAACAAACAAGUUGGAUCAUGAAUGUCAAUUUCAACAUGAUUAACUAAAUAUAGGUUAUACAAGUUGAACGGUCAAACCCGAACAUGAUCUACCAUUGUGACCCCGAUACGAUUACACCUAACUCAAACCUGCUAAAAUUUGUAUUUUUUUUUUUUAAUUAUAUUGUGAUACGUGUCAAAAUUAUCACCAUUAUUCCCACACUUACUACACAGCUGACCUCAUGUAAAUGGGCCAGUCCAGGCUGGGCUCAGACCCUCUUGGUUGGGCUCCAGGCUAGGCUUAGGGCUCCCCUACCAAACCCCAAAUGGGCCUUUGGAUAGUUCUUGGGCUGAGUUGGAUGUUAAACUUGAGUCCAUGCCUGUCCCAGGCCCAAAAGUAGUUCAAUAGUUAUCAUGCCAACAUUUUCAGCUUUUGGAAGUUUCAAAUCUCAUCUCUUGCAUAACAUUUUUGGAUAAUGCUUAUCAUAUAUACAUAUUAGGUUUUAAUACUCAGCCCAACUAGGAUUUGCCCAUGGAAUGGGCUCGAGCUUUAAAGAUCAGCCCAAACCCGACCCUAAAGGGAUUGGAUUGGUCUCUAAUCAGGCCUUGACCCGAAAUAUUUGAACAGACUUAUAUGAAGGUGUAUAUAAGACUACGUGGCACAUGUAGAAGGUUCUAUAUAAAUCCCUAAUAGGGUACUCAAAAUUUAUUAUAAAAAAUAUAAAAGAAAAUAGAAUAUUAUUAAAAUUAGUUAGAAAAUUAUGUAUUUUUAAAUUAUUUAAUUUUUAUAUUGAAGAAUUAAAAUAAGUAAAAUAAGUUUAAAGUAACAUAUAAAAAUAAUUUAUUAACUUUAAUUCUAUUUUUUAUUUUCCUCUUACUUUUUCUUUUCUAUUUUCUCUCAAAUUUUUUGGGAACCAAAUAUAGUCUAGAAAAUUUUACGUAAAUGUGUUUAACAAUUCCUUAAAAAAUAAGUUUUAUAUAUAAAAUACAUUUAUAAAAUUGAUAUUUGACAAAAUUUUAAAUCAAUGAAGUACUUAGAUGUUAGGACUACUUCAAGGUCCAAUAAUUUCGCUUUUGAUUGUAAGUAUAAGUCACUUAAAGGAUGACAUUUCAAUAUCAUAAAAGACUUUAAAUUAUCCUUUUUGAUAGUGGUUGAUUUUUAGAUGAUAGAAUGAAAGUUUUUUCUUAGAAGGCUUUUCCUAAAAUGAUACCGAUUAGUGUUGGUAUGAUCCUAGAUUGAUCGUGAUAUGAAGCAUUAUAAUUAAUAUUGUUUGAAAUUGUGCUUUAUCUAGAAGAUUAUAAGGUUAUGUUUGAAUUCAGGUCACCAAACUCUAACAAAAGUUAAUAAAUUAUUUUUACAUUCUACUUCAAACUUAUUUAAUUUAUUUUAACUCUUCAAUAUAAAAAAUAAACUAAUUUUAAUUAUAUUUAAUUUUCUUCAAUAUUUUUCAUAUCAUAAGCAAACACAAAAAAAUUAUUUCACUUAACAUUUGUUUUCAUUUCUUAAUACUUAUUGGGAAUCAAACAUGUCUGAUAUUUAGGUUAAUUACACACUAGCAGUCAUUACCUAGAUUAAGAGUGCUUGAGUAUGGUGAUUUAGCAGCUAAUAACUCAAAAAUUUUGAAGGGGAUGUUGCAUUAUGAUAACCGAUGUUGUCAAUUUUUACUCUUCUUUUGAGUAAAAUUCAAAAGUAAUCAUGGAGAUUAGGGAUGACAAUAGGUGGGUUCAGGACAGGUACCCCCAUCCCAACCCAUCCUAUUUAUUCAAAAUAAUUAUCAUUCUCAUCUCAUUUAAAAAAUUAAAUAGGAUUGGACGGGAUGGGUAUGAGAAAUUCUCAUACCUGUCCCACUCCGCCCCGUUUAAAUUUUUUUUUUAAUUUUUUUAAUUUUUAAAAAAUUACUUUUAACAUUUUUAAUUGCAUUAAAAUAAACAGAUUUUAUAAAUAAUUAAAUUAUUAUACUUUUUAUAACUUAUUUUAUUAAAAAAUAUUUUAUUAUUAUCUAUAUAUUAAAAAUAGUAAAAUAAAAUUUAAUUCAAUUUAAUUAUAAAAAUUAAUUUUAUAUAUAAUUCAGGUAGGACUAAACAAGACAAUACCCGAACUCAUUCCCAAUUUUAAAAAAAUUCUUAAACUUAUUCCAAAUCAAUUUAGUUAAAAUUCAAACGAUGAGAUAGUUACCCAAAAAAAAAUCAUCCCAUUAUGAUCCCUAAUGGAGAUCCACAUCUAUCUACACAACAUUCUGCAUUCUGCAUGCCAAAGUCCAAAAGGAGCCCAAGAGGGAAAGGGUUGAAAUGAAAGCACGUGAAGGUCCAAGACACCAAUGAAAGAGAGUAAAAUAUUUGAAUUAUUUUUUAAAAAUUUGUAUUUAAUAAUUAUUUUUAUAUUACUGGGUAGAGAUAAGAUAAAAAUGUGGGACAACGUAGGGCCUUCAUUCCACAUUCCCACAACCCGCAUGGACCGCGUAUGGCUAUGGAUGUCCUCCUCCAAGAGUUACAGAGAAAGGAAUAAAAUAUUUAACUUGGAUAAUUCACAUGUUAUUUUUCGUUUAUUAUCAAGAUUUUGCUUGGAUGUGCAUGUGCCUAAAACUAUUUCGUUAAAUAAUCGGAGAAGUCUAGAAAUUUUCAUCAUCAAAUGCGUCACUUGAAGAUGUUUUCAAACCAGAGUUAAAAAACAGGGGAAUAAUAAAAUAUAAAAAAAAAUGGCUGGGGUGGCGACAGCUUGGCCAGAGACUGCACCAAUUCAAUGCACGUCCUCCCCAAAAAGGUGGCAGAAAUUGUCCAUGUAGGUAUCUAUUUCUACAGCAUUCUGUAUAAUGUACAGAGGUGUGGUGGUUUGGAUCAUCACGGAGGAAUAGAGUGAGAGAAAGGGAAAGUUGUUUACCAAGCAGAGCCAAUAAUGGAGCCUUCAGCAGAAGAGAAACAGAGCAGCAGGCUAUGCCAUGAGGAUGGUGAUGUAGAGCCCUGCUCCUACGCCAUGCAAUUGGUGACUUCGUCUGUGUUGCCCAUGGUUAUGCAGACCUCCAUUGAGCUAGGCCUUUUUGAUAUCAUUGCCAACUUGGGUCAGGCCUCUGCCUCAGAAAUAGCUUCCCGGCUGCCUACAAAGAACCAAGAGGCACCCAUCAUCCUGGAUCGUAUGCUCUACCUUCUUACCACUCACUCUGUUCUCAGUUGCUCUGCCAUUGAUGGUGAUGAGAGGGUGUACGCACUCACACCUGUCUCCAAAUACUUUGCCAGUAAUCAAGGAGUUUCCUUCGGCCCACUACUGGCUUUGAUCCAGGACAAGGUCUUCAUGGAUAGCUGGUC